UGGGGAAUAUUGCACAAUGGAGGGAACUCUGAUGCAGCGACGCCGCGUGAGUGAUGAAGGAAUUCGUUUCGUAAAACUCUGUUCUAUGGGAAGAAAAGGACUGUACCAUAGGAGAAAGCUCCGGCUAAAUACGUGCCAGCAGCCGCGGUAAUACGUAGGGGGCGAGCGUUGUCCGGAAUUACUGGGCGUAAAGGGUUCGCAGGCGGCAUGGCAAGUCCGAUGUAAAAGGCGAAGGCUCAACCUUCGUAAGCAUCGGAAACUGUCAAGCUUGAGUGAAGGAGAGGCAAGUGGAAUUCCUAGUGUAGCGGUGGAAUGCGUAGAUAUUAGGAGGAAUACCGGUGGCGAAGGCGACUUGCUGGACUUCAACUGACGCUGAGGAACGAAAGCGUGGGUAGCAAACAGG
rnacentral:rRNA from 1 species